rnacentral:rRNA from 1 species
UCAGUAGCGGCGAGCGAAGACGGAAGAGCCCAGCGCUGAAUCCCCCGGUCCGGUUCGGGCCGGCGGGAAAUGUAGCGUUAGGGAGCGCCCGUCAGCCCGGGCGCGUGCGGCGAGCCCAAGUCUCCCUUGAACGGUGCCACAAUCCAGAGAGGGUGCCAGGCCCGUACGGCCGCCGCCGCGUCCGAGUGGGCGUCUCCUAGGAGUCGGUCUGCUUGAGAACGCAGACCUAAGCGGGUGGUAAACUCCAUCUAAGGCUAAAUACGACCACGAGACCGAUAGCGCACAAGUACCGUGAGGGAAAGGUGAAAAGAACUUUGAAGAGAGAGUUCAAGAGUACGUGAAACUGGAGAGGUGAAAACGGAAGUGGCUCGAUAUUCCGAACGGUGGUGUUCAAUCCUACCGACGACGGCGCCCGCGCCCGGGAGACCCAAGGGUCCCGCGGUACGGCGCGUGCCGGCCCCUCCGGGGUCGGUCGCGUCGCCCGGUCCCCUCCCGUCGGCGCCGGGUCUCAAAGGUCCGUCGCGGUGUGGAUGCACUCGCUGCCGUAGUAGGAUGUCGCGACUCGUCGGGUGUCGGUCGCGAGGCCGGCGGAGGUUUAGCCCGGUGUCCGUGUGACGCGCACCCCUGGGGAGAAAUGCGCGCGGUGCGGCCCGGACUCCUGCCGGAUCCUCUCCGACUGCCCGACGGUAUCGAAAGCACGUCGGCCGCAGCGGCCCGCUGUCACAGCCCGGUCCCCGCCCUCCGUGGCGAACCGGGCAGGCGGGUCCUCGCGACCGCGUCGGGCCCUCGCGCCCCGCGGGAGCCGGCCGACUGUCUGCGGCAUUGCCCGAUUCGGGUCCACUUCCGACCCGUCUUGAAACACGGACCAAGGAGCGUAACACGUGCGCGAGUCGAAGGGUGCCACUAAACCCGGAGGCGAAGCGAAAGCGUAAGGGGCGAUGGCACACUCGGUCGCGCUCUCCGGUCGCCCCGUUCGCGGGGCCUCUCGGAUCCGGCCGGCCCGCAGCCCCGGGGCACCUCAUACGGCUCUGCCGUCUCUAUCGACCCUCGUCCUCGCGGCGAGGGCCGGGGCGGCUGAGUCGAGGCGCACCUGUGAGCGUACGUGUUGUUACCCGAAAGAUGGUGAACUAUGCCUGGCCAGGACGAAGCCAGGGGAAACCCUGGUGGAAGUCCGUAGCGAUUCUGACGUGCAAAUCGAUCGUCGGAGCUGGGUAUAGGGGCGAAAGACUAAUCGAACCAUCUAGUAGCUGGUUCCCUCCGAAGUUUCCCUCAGGAUAGCUGGCGCUCGGAGGACCCGGGAAGGGACGAAUGAGUCUCAUCCGGUAAAGCGAAUGAUUAGAGGCCUUGGGGCCGAAACGACCUCAACCUAUUCUCAAACUUUAAAUGGGUGAGAACCCCGGCUUGCUUGAGCAGGGGGGCCUCCGGUGCCGGUACCGCUUCCCAAAAGGACGGCCGCCCGGUCCCCCCGUAAACCCUUUCGUCUGAAGCCGGGACCCACGGAU